rnacentral:rRNA from 1 species
CAUCAGGAGGUUAGUGCAAUGGCAUAAGCCAGCUUGACUGCGAGCGUGACGGCGCGAGCAGGUGCGAAAGCAGGUCAUAGUGAUCCGGUGGUUCUGAAUGGAAGGGCCAUCGCUCAACGGAUAAAAGGUACUCCGGGGAUAACAGGCUGAUACCGCCCAAGAGUUCAUAUCGACGGCGGUGUUUGGCACCUCGAUGUCGGCUCAUCACAUCCUGGGGCUGAAGUAGGUCCCAAGGGUAUGGCUGUUCGCCAUUUAAAGUGGUACGCGAGCUGGGUUUAGAACGUCGUGAGACAGUUCGGUCCCUAUCUGCCGUGGGCGCUGGAGAACUGAGGGGGGCUGCUCCUAGUACGAGAGGACCGGAGUGGACGCAUCACUGGUGUUCGGGUUGUCAUGCCAAUGGCACUGCCCGGUAGCUAAAUGCGGAAGAGAUAAGUGCUGAAAGCAUCUAAGCACGAAACUUGCCCCGAGAUGAGUUCUCCCUGACUCCUUGAGAGUCCUGAAGGAACGUUGAAGACGACGACGUUGAUAGGCCGGGUGUGUAAGCGCAGCGAUGC